rnacentral:ncRNA from 1 species
UCGGGGGUGCCGCAUGGCUGAGACGAAGCUUUUUUCGAACCCUUUGACCUGAUCCUGGGUAAUACCGGCGUAGGGAGACUUC